AUCCAGCUGAUGAGUCCCAAAUGGGACGAAACGCGCGUCGUGGAU
rfam:Schistosoma mansoni strain Puerto Rico chromosome 6, complete genome